rnacentral:lncRNA from 1 species
AAGCCACACACGGCCAGUCCCGAAACAUGAUAUAAGGCCAUUUAAGGUCGAAACAUAAAGACAUAAAAAACAAAUCUCUCGCAAGAGAUCUAACCCAAGUCAUCCUCAGAACUCACGCCCCCUCUUCACCCGUCGCCUCGUCCGAGCCCGGAGCCGCGUCGCCUCCGUUUUCUCCAACCAUCGGGUGUUUCUUCUCUGGGUCUUCUGAACACGUCUAACCAGGAUGAGAUCGAAAUCUCCAUCCACGGCCG